GUCAGACAAAGAAGUUGUCAGUGAGUUGUCCAGCGUGUUGUGGAGCUGGAGGACAAUUUGCCAAUGACUGAGCGUCUUCCAGGGAUUCCCUAUCCAAUGGUCAGGGAUCCAGCUUUUCAUUUCUGAUCUACUGUAAGUUAUGGAAUCUGGCAAAUAGGAACAAAUCUGGAUGAGCUGGUUUAUGGAACAAUAAACACAGGAAGGAACUGAAGAGCACUCCUGAAAACUACCUCCUGGAGUGUAAAAAUUCCCAUCUUCAGGAAAGUGAAGGAACUGCUGUGUGCGAUGAAAAAUGUCAAUAUAUUUGGAGGACAGACUAUUUCAGACUGGUGGUGAACAACUCCAGAGUAAUGCUUUGGUGAACUUCUGCUCCAAGACCUAUAAGGCUGGCAGUACUUCUCUCCAGAUGUACCAUUUGGCACAUUAAACAGUUCUUUUCUUAGAAGGGAAACCUAUGGUUUUGCCAUGUAAUGCAAAACACCAAUGGAAUCACUACAUAAGCAAAAUGCCAGUAAUGGUACAGUGGUCCAGCCACAAACACUGAAGAGCUGGGGCAGAACAUGGUUGUGACUGUUUGCAGCUGCCCUUGGAGCUGGAGUGGAGGGAGUCACCAUGUGCUG